rnacentral:rRNA from 1 species
UACGUAGGGGGCAAGCGUUGUCCGGAUUUAUUGGGCGUAAAGAGCGUGUAGGCGGCCUGACAGGUCUGCUGUGAAAACUCGAGGCUCAACCUCGAGAUGUCGGCGGAAACCGUAUGGCUAGAGUCCGGAAGAGGAGAGUGGAAUUCCCGGUGUAGCGGUGAAAUGCGCAGAUAUCGGGAAGAACACCCGUGGCGAAGGCGGCUCUCUGGGACGGUACUGACGCUGAGACGCGAAAGCGUGGGGAGCGAACAGG